CUGAUCAACGCGUGCGGGUCAAUUGCGGCUUGCAACACCCGAUCUCCCUCAACGUGCCUCCCUCGAUGGAGCUCGAAGAGGGGGAGCGCGUGACCGUCAG
rfam:Natronococcus occultus SP4, complete genome.